rnacentral:rRNA from 1 species
CGGUGUUCAACUGGCGUGUCCGCGGGACGUCCUGCCGGUGGGCUUAGCCCGCAAGGGCGGCCCAACUUCAAAUCCCAUCGCGGUGCUCUUCACUGAGUGUCGAGGUGGGCCGGCACGUUUACUUUGAACAAAUUAGAGUGCUUAAAGCAGGCUAAAACUUCGCCUGAAUACUGUAUGCAUGGAAUAAUGGAAUAGGACCUCGGUUCUAUUUUGUUGGUUUUCGGAACCCCGAGGUAAUGAUUAAUAGGAACAGAUGGGGGCAUUCGUAUUGCGACGUUAGAGGUGAAAUUCUUGGAUCGUCGCAAGACGGACAGAAGCGAAAGCAUUUGCCAAAAACGCUUUCAUUGAUCAAGAACGAAAGUUAGAGGUUCGAAGGCGAUCAGAUACCGCCCUAGUUCUAACCAUAAACGAUGCCAGCUAGCGAUCCGUCGACGUUCCUCCGAUGACUCGACGGGCAGCUUCCGGGAAACCAAAGCUUUUGGGUUCCGGGGGAAGUAUGGUUGCAAAGCUGAAACUUAAAGGAAUUGACGGAAGGGCACCACCAGGAGUGGAGCCUGCGGCUUAAUUUGACUCAACACGGGAAACCUCACCAGGCCCGGACACCGGAAGGAUUGACAGAUUGAGAGCUCUUUCUUGAUUCGGUGGGGUGGUGGUGCAUGGCCGUUCUUAGUUGGUGGAGCGAUUUGUCUGGUUAAUUCCGAUAACGAACGAGACUCUAGCCUGCUAACUAGGCGUAUUUUCGACAUCUCAAAGGUCCGUCGUCCCGGCCCUCGGGUCGUGGGCGUGCGCGAUUUUUACUGUCGGCGUACUAUCAAUUCUUCUUAGAGGGACAGGUGGCUUCUAGCCGCACGAGAUUGAGCAAUAACAGGUCUGUGAUG